AAAAAAAAGGUUUUUGUUGUUGGUUUUGGCUGGAAGAAAAAUGGUUGGCAGGUUAUGUGCCGAACCUGAAAAAAUGUGUACAAGUGCAUGUGACUAAAAAGUAUAUAUCUCAGUGAAGUGGUUGGCGAAGCCUGAUGCAGAUAUCUUACUUUGCACCUUUGCCGUCAACCCAACACAUGCAAUAGAUGGUUGUCCACUGCAGGAGUUUGUCCUCCCAUACCAAGUGCCGUUUUCCAGAUUAGGAUUCGGCACUUAGUCAUAUUUUAUAUAAAACCUGGUAUUAAACUGACUCUAAUGACCCAGUCAUAUUUUAUAUAAACCCAGCCAUAAUUUAUAUAAUAACCCAGUUAUAAGUUAUAUAAAAAAAAACCCGUGUGUAAAUUAGAAAUCAUUUAAAAUGAAACUUCAACACACACAACUGCUUGACUAACGGCCAACAACAAAAGCUUCGUCGCAGCUGUGCUGGCCUCCUCAGCUGUCGGUACACCAAAACAGAUGGUCUACCUAAACGACGGUAGCCAGAGAUAGUUGCCGACUCGCACUGCUAAACGGAGAACUGCUUCCAAGCA